UACGUAGGGCGCAAGCGUUGUCCGGAAUUAUUGGGCGUAAAGAGCUCGUAGGCGGCCUGUUACGUCUGCUGUGAAAUCCCGGGGCUUAACCCCGGGCGUGCAGUGGAUACGGGCAGGCUGGAGGCAGGCAGGUGAGAACGGAAUUCCCGGUGUAGCGGUGAAAUGCGCAGAUAUCAGGAGGAACACCGGUGGCGAAGGCGGGUCUCUGGGCAGUAACUGACGCUGAGGAGCGAAAGCGUGGGGAGCAAACAGG
rnacentral:rRNA from 1 species